rnacentral:rRNA from 1 species
CAUUAAGUGUUCCGCCUGGGGACUACGGUUCGCAAGGCUAAAACUCAAAGGAAUUUGACGGGGGGCCCUGCACAAGGCGGUGGAGACAUGGUGGUUUUAAUUCNGACGCAACGUCGAAGAACCUUACCUGGGCUUGACUUCCCAAGGAGUCCCUUGAAAGAGGGAUGUGCCCUUCGGGGAACUUGGUGACAGGUGCUGCAUGGCUGUCGUCAGCUCGUGUCGUGAGAUGUUGGGUUAAGUCCCGCAACGAGCGCAACCCUUGUCUUUAGUUGCCAUCAGUUCGGCUGGGCACUCUAGAGAUACUGCCUCGGUCAACGGGGAGGAAGGUGGGGAUGACGUCAAGUCCUCAUGGCCCUUAUGCCCAGGGCUACACACGUGCUACAAUGGGCUGUACAAAGGGUAGCUAACUCGCGAGAGCAAGCCAAUCCCAAAAAACAGUCCUCAGUUCGGAUUGGAGUCUGCAAUUCGACUCCAUGAAGUUGGAAUCGCUAGUAAUCGUGGAUCAGCAUGCCACGGUGAAUUCGUUCCCGGGCCUUGUACACACCGCCCGUCACACCACGAGAGUUGACUGUACCAGAAGUUGCUGG